GAAGGUCUGGGCUAACGUGAACAAACUCAACAAGCAAAAAGUCCAAAAUUUGCACAAGAACGGCGGUGCUGAGUUGCUAGUGUGGCGAGGGGACUCAAAGACUAAAGAUGUGUAUUUUGAUGACAUUAUACACAUCAUCAAGGAAGAAUCAAUAACCAACAACGUGAUAGAUGCUUAUGGUGAAAUUCUACUUGAACUACAAGGGCUAGUCAACCCAAGUUUGAAAGAUUCAUCAUUCAUCUUUACAAGCACAUGUUUGAAAAUCAUGCAACAGUACCCCCCCAAGAGGAAUAAACUAAUUGAUGUACACAUCAAGGAGUAUCAAGGCCAGAGAUUCUUAAUCUUCCCAAUACACGACAACUUUCACUGGACAAUUGUUGUGUACGGCGUAAAAGAGUGUAUGGAGGCAUUAUAACUCACUGCGCCCAAGAGAAGACAUACAUGACCCACAUAUUGACAAAGCACAAAUAUUGAGGGACUACAUCACAGCUUUGGUGCACAACAUUGGACCAUCAUCACCAUUAUGGACCAAUUUAUCAAGCCAAAAUACUUCAAAAACAAUCAUAUCAGUGGACAUCUGUCCUCAGCAAGCAUCAAAUUCGGUGGAUUGUGGGCCUGCAGUUUGUUACAUCAUGAGGGCGCAUGUAUAUCGUGAAGACAUUGUUGCCAGCCUAGAUCGCUUUGAAUGGUGUCAAAUAAGAGACUCAUUAGUACACCUUUUUCUGAACCACAGAAAGACAGUGCAAUGUGAAAACCUAUAGGUGGGGGGUGUCCACUUAUCACUGUUACCCAAAUCUGUUAUCCACAUUUAAGACAAUUUAGUUUCAAUAGAUUUUUCAUAUUGGAGCAGACUAGCGUAAUUGUAAAUCAAGUCUAUAUCACUGCUUGUACAGAUAUUUUUCAGUUAAUAUAUGUAUAUGCAUUUUCAG